UACGGAGGGUGCAAGCGUUAUCCGGAUUCACUGGGUUUAAAGGGUGCGUAGGUGGGUUGGUAAGUCAGUGGUGAAAUCUCCAGGCUUAACUUGGAAACUGCCAUUGAUACUAUCAAUCUUGAAUACCGUGGAGGUCAGCGGAAUAUGUCAUGUAGCGGUGAAAUGCUUAGAUAUGACAUAGAACACCAAUUGCGAAGGCAGCUGGCUACACGAAUAUUGACACUGAUGCACGGAAAGCGUGGGGAUCAAACAGG
rnacentral:rRNA from 1 species